rnacentral:lncRNA from 1 species
UUUUUUUUUAUGUCAGAAAUUUAAAUCUCUGGAACUUUUUAAAAUCCUUUCCAAAUUUUUUUUAAUUUGUUAAAAUUUUUUGAUAUUUUUGUGAUUUUGUUUAAAAUUUUUAAUAAUCUCAUUAUAGGUUUUAAUUAUAUUUGAUUUUUUUUACACAAGGCCUAAAAUUAUUCGUAAUCCCUCCCUAACCUAUAAAUAGGAGGAUAAUAUACUUCAGUACAUUUCAACCCACAUCCUGAUAACAAUGCUCAUGUCAAUUGAGCUAAUAUUCAAUGUUUGACAUUUUUUGAAUUUUCACUCUUUUUUUUUAUUUUAUGUAUGUAAAAAAUAAAAUAAAUAUUUUUAAAUUUAUGAGAAUUUUAUAUAAUUAAUCUUAUUUGUAAAAUAUUUUGAGUUUUUUCUUUUGAAAUUUUCUCUACAUUUUUCAAUUUUAUUUAAGAAAAAAACAAAAGAAUUGAGCAACACAAUGCACUAGAGAACACCACGUUAUCUUGUUUUUUAUUUUUUUAAUGCUAUUAACACCCACAUAAAGUGAUAAAUGAUGGAAAACUUCAAAUAUUAAAUUAAUAAAAAACAUUAUUUAUAUAUAUUUGUGUGGAAGGACGGACCACCUAUGAGGAACACGUUUUUAUAACAACCACGAGGAACACAUUUAAAUUUGAGAAAAUCAAUAAUAGUACGAUCAAAUCACUUCUCUAACUUUUUCACAUGCUACUUUGAUUCAACGGGAUAUGAUAUGAAUAUUAUACUAAAAUUAGAUAUUUCAAAUUUGGAUUUUUUAAACUUUUGUUUGACUUUUUUUUAACAAUUUCAUUAUAAAUUUUGAUCAGAUCUAUUUUUUACACAAUGCCUAGAAUUACUUAUAACCCACAAAUAGGAGAAUAAUGUAUUUCAGCACACUUGAACUCACAUCUUCUUAUAUUGACAACAAUACUCAUGCCAAUCGAGUUGAGACUCAAUCGACUUAUUUGACAUUUUUAUAUUUUAUGUAUUUAAAAAAUUAAAAUAAAUAUUUUUAAAUUUAUAAGAUAUAAUUUUUCUUAUUUUUAAAAUAUUGACUUUUUAAAAGAAAAUUCUCUACUUUUUUUUCAAUUUAUUUAAGAAAAAAAAAAAGAAUUGAGCAACAGAAUGGAGUGAGAGAAGGCCACGUUUUCCAGUUUUUAAAUGCUAGUUCGCCCAACCCAAAUCACUGCUCUAACUUUGAUUCAACGGGAUAUGAUAUGAAUUAUGAAUAUAUCUAAAUUUAUAGUUUAAAAAAAAUUUGAUUGUCUCUCACUUUCAUUUCUUUCUUUAUUUCUUUUUUAAACGGAAUGUGACAGAUUUGGGAGGGAUUCAACAAAUUGUUUUUCUAUUAUACUCGGAUUAAAUUCUGUCCUCGUGUUUUUAUUUUAUUAUUUUUAGUUUUUAUAUUCUUCAAAUUUUAAUCUCCACUAAACAAUAUUUGUUAAAUUUAUUAAGUAAAGCUUUGUUAUCUUUAAAAUCUGAUGCAACUUAUUAGUUUCCCAUAUUAUACUACCUAAAAAUCAAGAUAGUGGAUUAUUGACCUUUAUUUGUGUUAAAACUAAAAUUUUCAAGUUUGAAAAAGUAUAGGGACUUAGAAUGAUCCAAUUAGAGAAAAUAGACUAAAUCUAUAAUUUUAUGUACAGUACUGGACUAGUAGUUGAAUUUAACCAAACGGAUUUAACUACGACUGUUUGGGCCAAGGUUAAAUUUUUGAGAUUUAAAGAAUAUAAUGAUUAAAAUUUGCCAAUUCAAAAAAAUUAAAAAAAAAACUAAAAUUAAUCAAUAAAAAUUAGAAACUAAGAAUUUAACCUUAUUAACUUAUUCGAAUAUGUUGAAGUUGAAAUUUAUAAUUUGAGUAAUAAAGAAUUUACUCAUUCAAAGUAUGAUCCAAAAUUAAACAAAUUUAUUUAAAGUAAACUAACACGUCAAAUAACAAUUCUAAGUGGAUAAUCAAAUUAAUUGUUGGAAGUGAUGAAGGGAAAGAUAUAAUUUUAUGUAAGUGAUUUUAUAAAAAUAAUUGGUUGUUAUCAUAAAAAUAUAAAAAUAAUGUAGAGACGGAUAAUAAUAUUAGAUUAACAAUUCCAUACUAUAUUUUAGGUUUUAAUGGUUGUGCAUUUAUGGGAUGCUCCCACACUUAAUUUUGUAUCUACAUUUAGGCAAAGAAAAGAUAUGUUUCUAUGCAUUUUGAGAAUUGAUAAACUUUAUUUGUAAAAAUGCAUGUGGUUUCAGUUAUGAUUUUAUUGAAUGGACACUAAUGUUCUAAAUUUGGUUACUUCAAAGAUCGCAUUCAAGAAAUUUUCUAUUUUCUUCACUUAUUAAUUUGUUAUUUUCAUUGAUAUACUGCUAGUUACAUUUGUUUGCAUGGUAUAACAUUCUAAUUGCUACAAAGCAUAUAUACUAUAUUGGAUGAAUUUUACAGUAAAAAUUUAUCUAGUUUAUACUAAUAUAUUAAUUAGUUGGUAUGAUCGUUUAGACCAUCCCAACAAAAAAUGAUGCGAUAAAUGAGAAUUUACAUAGAUUUUUAUUAAACCACCUGAAGAUUCUUCAUUUUAAAGAUUCUAAAGUCUUAUUUAUUCUCAAAGUUGAGAUUGAAUCUCUUAUAUUUCUAAAAGAAAUAUAAACCCAAUUAUCCAGAAAGUGAAUGCUUUCAUAUAAUUUUGGUAGAUGCAUCUAUAAGAUAAUCGCAUGUGAGUUAUCAACUCACAACAUGCCAUUUGCGAGAUUACUUGUUUAAUAUUUUGCUUAAGAACAAUACUUUUUAAUUAUGCAAUCGAGACAAUUCUUGUUAAUGUUGGUGAAUUUAUUUCUUAAGCUUUUAAUGAUUAUUGUUGAUAAUUACUCAUAAUUCAUGCAUUUUAGACCCUUAUCAUUUUACUUUUCAUUAUUCUUCAAGUGGAAAAUCAUGUUUGAGCUUUGUUUAUAAAUUUAGCUUUAUUAUUAAUUACAUUUUUAUUUUUCUCGUAUUUGCUUUGACUAGUUAUAAAUGAUUAUUUUGGCAUCCUUGUGACUUUAAUUAGGAACAUACGAGCUUUGAAUGCAGUGUCAAGAAUUGUUGAGAGCGAAAUGAAUGAAUAUAAGGAGACCUGAACGGAAAUGAAUAAGCUGCUGCCCAGUCGCGCCCCAGCCUAGGCUUGGUGCCCUAGCUUUCAAACCAGCUAUACCCUAGCCACUUGACCAUGCCCCGAUGCAGUACGCCCCUGCGCCAUGUCGUUGAGCCGCGGUGCCAACGAUCAUGCCACGUGGAAUUUUUUCAUUUUGUCUCCAGACUCAAGGUUAUUUUUGUCUUUUUAAAUAUAAUGCUUAAACUUGUAUUGUAGCCCUGAUUUAGGUUAGAUAAACCUUAUAAAUAGGAUCUUUUGGAGGAUUAGAAUAAAUUUUUAGCUACAUUGAAUAUCGGACAUCUUGCGAUUUGAUUUUGUUGGUGUUUUCUUAUUCAUUGCUAAAUCCUCUCUUUCUAUUUGAAGGUUAAUUGAAGUUUGACUCGAUGGAUUUGUGAGACUUAAUUUUCACUUUAAAUCUUUUUUUUCUUUAGUAUUCAUGUAUUUUUUUUUUAUAAUUACAAUUGCUCAGGUUUAUUAAAUAUUUAGUCGCUGUUUGAUAGCUUAGAACGGUUGCCUUGUCAAUUAGAAUAAUUAAAUCUGUAAUUUUUUAUUUCAUUAUAAUACUAGUGACAAAUUGCAUAACUCGUUUAUGUUGUAGUUUACAAUUAUUGUAACAACCCGUUUUUCAGUGGUUUCGGGAUUACAAUUCCAACAAGUGAGCUCGUAAAUAUUAUGAUAAAGUGAAUUUUAUUUGAUAAUUUUUAUUUAAUUGGAUAAUUAGUUAAGUGUAAGUGAGUUGUCCCUAAAAUCAAGUAGUUUUAAAAAAUGAGGUAUUAGGACCUCGUUUCCAUAAACCGAGCCUGUAAACAUUUAAUAAAAUAUUUAUGAAGUUGAUAUAUAGGUGUAUUAAAUUUUGGUCCGGAAAUUUUAACAUUUAGAUAAUUAAUUAAAGAAAAAAGAUUAAAUUGUAAAAAUGUAAAACCUAAUCACUAUUAAAUUAUAUUGAUUAAAUGGUUUAAUUAGUAAAUAUAAGAGGACUUAUUAGACAAUUAGGCCAUUAUCAUGGUGGGUGGACGGUUAGUGGUGUUUUUGGAUUAAAUUAUUUGUUAAAAUUAUAUGUUUAUAACAAUAAUAAGUAAAAAAACAUAAUAGCAUUUUCAUCAUCUUUUUCUUCUCCAUUGGAAACCGAAACACAAUGGAUGAACCUUCAAAAGCUUUCAUCCAUUUUUCUUUACUUUGCUUUUUUAUCCGUUUGUUAUAUUUUUUUUUAUAUUUUUGAGAUUGUUGCAACUGGGUUCAGCUAACCUGCAUCUCCGUUUUCAAAACUGUUAAGGUUUGUUAAAAUUACCAUAAUGAUUUUUGAAUGUUCUUGUAAUGACCCGAUAGUUACAGGUGUCAGAAAGUGCAUUUCUGAGACUCUGUUACCGUAAACCGGACUCAUAAAUAUUUAUUGAAAAACUUACCAAGUUAGUUGUGUAGUUAAUUAGGUUUUGUUAGGUGAAUUUGCAUGAAUUAAGAGUAAUUAGGUAUAAGGACUAAAUUGCCUAUAGGGUGAAAGUUAAAUUAUAGAUUAAAAAAUAUUAAAAAGACUAAAGAAGCAAUUAAACUUUAUUUCAACAAGUGGAUGAUAUUAGUGAUUACAUGUGUAAAUUUAAUAUACAUAUAUAUUAAUAAAAUAUGUUUAAUUAAUAUUUAAGUAUAUAUAUUAUAUUAUUAUAAUAAUAAGUAAAUGAAUAAAAAAGAAAGAAAGAAAGAAACCCAAGAAGGCUAAACAAAACAUAAAGAAAAAGAAAGAAAGGAAAACGGAGAAAGACAAGGCUAGGGUUUCAAAGUUUUCAAGUUUAAUUGGUUAGUUAAUUUAGUCCAUUUUCUUGUAAUUUUAUGUUUUUGGAAUCUCGGUGAUAAGUACUACCCGACCUAUGUCAAAAUUUUAGCAAUUAUUGAGUUUUUAAAUGUUGUUAAUGUUGAAUAAUUUUAGUAUUAGGGAUUAAAUUGAUAGAUUUAAAAGUUAGAAAUGAAAAAUGACUAAAUUGUAUAAUAAAUUAUAAAUUUUGAGUAAUAGGGACUAAAUUGUGAAGAAUUCAAAAUUUAGGGAUUUAAGUGAAAAUAAUGAGAUAAAUUUAGUUAAAAGUGGAAUUUGUAUGAAAAUAUAUGAUUAAUUGUAAAGAAAUAAAGUUAGUCUCGGUUGAAGGACUAAAUUGGAAUUUAGGCAAAUAUUGAGUAAAAAUUGAAAUAUUCAAUAUGAAAUUGAAUUUUGUUGUAUUGAUGAAUUUUAAUUAUUUUAAUUCCGUAGCUAACGUCGUACCAGAAUCCUCGACUAAAAAAGGAAAGAUAAAGUCGACAUCGAAUAGCUCGAAAUUUCUAGUUUGUAUUUCUAUAAUCCGAACCUAGUUGUUAUGUAACGCCCCAAAAAUAUAAGUCUUUGAUUUUUUGCUUAGUUUGACACAAAUUGCUUGUUUGCUUCAAUGGUUAAGUGAUUUGGGUGUGUAUGGGGGAGUUUGAGAAGCUUGGGUUCAAGUCUUGGUUUUUGCAGAAUCUUUAGUUUUGCUCUUAAAUGAAUCUAGACUUAGGCAUAUAGGCCUUAUAAAUAUUAGUGUUGGUUUAUGAUACAAAAAGAGCUUGUGGUCUAGUGGUAAGGUCGUGUGUUGUGUAACUAUGAGGUCUAAGGUUUAAGUCUUGGGUUGUGCAAUUGAGUAUUUAUUUUGUUGUUGGAGUUGUGUGGGUAGUGAAGUUGGUCUGAAACACAACUAAGGGAAGUUUGAAUAGAGUUGUUGGGGGGAGUUGAGGAGAAAUUGGUGGAGUGAUUCAAGGAGGGAUAAUGGGAGAGAUUUUAGGAGAAAAUCAAGGGAAGUGAGGGGAGAGGGGAGGUGUACCGAAAAUGAACUUGUUACUCAGGAAAAUUCAGUUAGGUGGCAUACUGCUCAUUUCAUGUAUUCACUACACCAAAACAGGCUUUAGCGGCGUUUUUGAGAAAGCGCCGCAAAAAACCUAAUCCCAACGACGCCGUUUUCUGAGCUUUCGAGUGAUUAGUGGCGUUUUUAAUUACGCGCCGCUAAUGCUUAGGGCUUUAACGGCGUUUUUGAAAAAUCGCCGCAAGAAAACCUAAGCACAACGCCACCGUUUCUGAGCUUUUCGGGGAUUUAGCGGUGUUUCUAAAGAAGCGCCGCUAAUGCAGGGAUUUAGCGGCGUUUUUGGAAUAGCGCCGCAAAAAAAACUAAGCCCGACGACACCGUUGUCUGUGCUUUCAGGGAUUUAGCGGCAUUUUUUUAAAAGCGCCGCUAAUGCUCAGCGCUUUAGCGACGUUUUUAAAAGAGCUCCGCAAGAAAACCUAAGCCCAAUGACACCAUUUCUUAGCUUUUCGGGGAUUUAGCGGCAUUUUUAAGGAUGCGUCGCUAAUGCUCAGGGAUUUAGCGGCGUUUUAGGUGUAGCGCCGCAAAAAAAAAACUAAGCCCAACGAUGUCGUUUUCUGUGCUUUCGGGGAUUUAGCGGCGUUUUUAGGAAAGCGCCGCUAAUGCUCAGGGAUUUAAAAUAAUUUAAUAUUUCUUAAAAAUGGAAAAAUUAAAAAACUAUUAUUUAAAAUAUUUUUAAAGUUUUUUGGAUACAUUACUGAUUUUUUUAGUUUAUAUAUUAAAUUAUUUCUUAUAUAAUCGUAAAAGAGGUAGUAUUAAUUUUAAAAUAUUGAAUUAAUUAUCAUUAUAGUAUAUGGUUUAGAGUUUAAGGAGUAGGUCGGGGUAUGGAUUUAGGGUUUGGGAUUUAAGGUUUAGAGGUUAUGUGUUAUACUUUAGGGGUUAGGGGGAUUUAGGUGUUAGGGAUUUGAGGUUUAGGGUUUCAACGAUAAGGUUAGAGUUUAAGUUUAGAUUAAUUAGUUUUAUUAAUUUUUAUAUCAAAUAUGUUCUUAUAUAUUUCUAAAAUAGAUAAUAAUAAUAAAUUUAAUAUAUUUAAAUUAUGAGUAUAUAGUUUAUAUUAUUUAAGAGAUAUAUAAUAGAUAGAUGAUCACUUUAUGCAUGUAGAUUGAUACAUGUAUCAAAUACUUUUAAAUAUUACUUAAAAUUUUAAUAUUUAUUUACGUAAAAUUUAAAUAGUAAAAUUAUAUAAUAAAAUUUUUAGGGGUUAUGCUUUAGGGGUUAGGGAGAUUUAAGGGUUAGGGUUUAUGCUUUAAGGGUUAAGGGGGAUUUAGGGAUUAUGGGUUAGGGAUUUGGGAUUUAGGGUUAUUAAUUUUUAUAUUAAAUACUUUUAAAUAUUACUUAAAAUUCUAAUAAUUAUUUAUGUAAAAUCUAAAUUAAAUAUACAAGAGAUAAAUAAAUAAAUAAUAAAAUUUAUUCAAAUUUUAGCAAAUAUUUAUUGCAUUUUUAUUUGUGGCGUUUUUCGAAAAACGCCGUAAAUUAUCUUUGAACUGGAAAACGGCGUCGUUUCAGUUAAUCAUUUGUGGCGUUUUUUAUGAAAACGCCAGAAAAUUUACUUAUAUUUUAAUAAAACGGCACUGUCUCUUUCUGUACUUGAAAUUUUAGUGGCGUUUUUUACUAAAACGCCGCAAAUAUGGAUACAAUAGCCGCAAAUACUUAUAAAUAAAGUGAAUAUUUAGUGGCGUUUCUAUGAAAAACGCCGCAAAUAAUAUUUGAAAAAUUGAAUAAAACGGAGCCGUUUCAUUGACGAGUUUAUUUGGCCCUCAAAAUUUGUAAGAUUUGUGGCGUUUUCUUUAAGCGCCGCUUCAUGAAAUGAAUUAUAUGCUGAACUGCCUAAAGGCUUCAAUGAUUUCUGCUGAAGGGUAUAUGUUAUUUAAACAUUAAUAUACACUAAAUUAUUAUUUUUUACGUAUAAUUUUUUAGAGUACAUUAUAAAUAUUACAUACUUGUACAUUAUAAAUAUUCAGUGGUUGACCUGACACUUGCUUUUGUGAUACCAAAUUCAAAAAAAUUACAAAUACUUUUUUGUUUUUUACUUCUUAUUAUGUUAUUAGGGUUCUAAGUGACACAAAUGCUUAGUUUAUUAACUCGUUGUGGCAUAUAUGUUAUGAUGAAACAAAUUAAUUGUGUUAUUUACAUUCGUUUAUUAACUUAAAAAUAGAGCAUAAAUUUAAAAUUGUAAUACAUUAUUUGAAUAAUAUCAAUAAUUUAUAAAUUCGAAUGUUGACAAAAUUUAAAUUAUACACUCUUGAAGAUUUAUAAAAUUUAUUAAAUUUUAACAAUUAAAAAUAAUGUAUUAAAUUUGUAUCAUAUUUUUAAAUAAUAUUAUUGAAAUAAUAUUAAUAAUGUCAUAACAAUGUAUUGCUUAAAAAUAAUGUCAUAUGAAUGUAUCAAAUUCAUAAAUCUAUUAAAAAUUUGAAAACUUAUAAACUUAUUAAUAUAUAUUUAAAAAGUGAAUAAUUAGUGGCAUUUUCCUGAAAAAACGCCACAAAAUCUAAAUAUUAGUGACGUUUUGUCAAUAAACGCUGCAGAUAAUAUAAUAAAAAUUGAACGAAAUAACGCCGUUUCAUUGACGAAUUAAAUAUUAGUGGCGUUUUUUCUCAAAACGCCGUAAAAGUUGUAAAAUUAGUGGCGUUUCCUUGUAAGCGCCGUAAAAGUUGGAAUAGAAAAUGGGGUCGUUUUAAACAUAUAUCAGUUUUGGACUAAAUCCCCGCUCCCAGCACCAAAUCCCCUAUCUGUCGAAAUCCCUAAUUCUUUUUUCUAUCUGCGAUUUCUUACAUGCGAUUCUUCAAUUGAAAAGCUUCAGUGUUCCGUUGUUCGGUUUCUUGCAAACUUAUAAGGAUUAUUUAGCUUCAUUGUUUCGGUUUCUUGCUAACUUACAUAACCCACACAGAGAAGACGGAGAAGGUGGCCAGACAUUCGGAUUCUGUCGUCGGGGGAAUCGGUAUUUAAGGUUCGAUUUCCCGAUUCUGCGCAUUUAAACAUUGGGUUUUCUUGUCUUUGUUAAUUUUUUUGUUUGUUAUUUGUUGAUGACCCUGAAAUGUCUUGAAAUCGUCUUCUCUGUGUAUAGGGUUUUCGAUCGUUUUAUUUUUCUUCAUCGUCGCGAAGGUACUGUAAAGCUUUCACUUCUUUUAUACUGGGAAUGCUUUCAUUGGUUUCGAGUAAAUGUUAUGUUGUUGGUGACGACGGUUUGGAGUAAAUGUUAUGCUUUCAUUUCUUUUCUGUUGGUGUCGAUCAAAUCAUGUGCUUGUUUUUUUUAGAUGAAAUUUUGAUGUGUAAUUUAGGUUUUAUUUUAUUAAUUGAUAAAAAAAAGUUGUUACAAGUUUAUGAUGAUUACAUUUCCAGGUAAUGAAUUCGAUUUUAAUGGAUUUUUAUGAGACUAUGUUUCUCAAGAUUUUAAUGACAAAUUCCUUCAAUUUAGGUUUUGAGGUUCGUAAGAGUAGUAUAAAAUCUCAAAAAAGAAAUUCAAAAAAUCAUUCAAGAAAUCAAAAAAGAAAUCAUGAAUUUAGGUUUUGGAUUUUAAUUGGUUUUUGCAGCUAAGAUGGUACCUUCUUUUGGUUUUUCUGCUAAGAUGGUACCUUCUAUUGAUUUUUGCUGUUAAAUGGCUAAGAGCUCAUCCAUACCAUUGACUUUCUCAUCAUAAUCUGGUUUGCACAUUAUGCAUAAUCUGGUUUUCCAUAUCAUUUAAGCAUAUGAGUGUCUUUAAAUCACUAUUUUUUAAUUUAAGAAUGUGAGUUAAAAUAUAAUGUUGGGUUCUACUUUCAUUUUCUGGUUUGUAUCUUAAAUUAUAAUGUUCUAACUACGACUCGUAAUUGGAUGUAAACUUAUUCAUAAUCACAUUUAGACUUUGCUUAAAUCACAAAUUGUACCUCAUGUGUUCGGUUUUCUUUGUUGAAAAUCAAUUUUUUUACUUGGUAACAGUUCUUGUAGCUUAGAAAGGAAUAUGAACACAGAAUUUUCCCUUUCUCUAGCAUGUUUUUUCUGCAGCAGCUUCGUGCAAAAAACACAAUCAUAUAAUUAAUUGAAAAGAACUAUGAGUUUUUGAAUAUCAUAGGACUAUGAGUUUUGAUUUUUUAUUUCACAUAUGAAAAGAACUAAUGUUAUUAAAAUUUAGUAAUAUUUAUGUAAAAUUUGAAGGUUUUUAUUUCACCACAAGAUUGCUAUAAAUAAUUAAUUUAUUAAAGAGUAUACCUUAUAAUUAAUUUUUGUUAUCAUGUUAUCAUAAAAGAUAAAAUAAAAUAUAAAAAAUAUGUUUUCUAUUAAAAUUGACUAUUAAAAUAAAAUGUUAUUAGAGGAUUAUCAUACCGUAUGUUAAACUCAUUUUUAUAUUGGCUAUUGUGACCUAAGAGAACAGGUGAGAUGCUAGAUUGAAGCAAAUAUAUUAGGUAUUGAAAUAUUCUUAAUAAUAAUAUUAUAUUAAAAUUAUUAUUAAAUAUUAUUAAUAAUUAUAUUAGUAAUGUUAUUAAAUUAUAUAUUAUUUCAUUAAAUUGUAUUUAACAAUAAUUAUGUUAAAAUAUAAUUAAAUUAUUUAUUUUUAUUUUUAUUUUUAUUUUUAUUAAAAUAUAUUUAACAAUAAUCUUAUUAAAAUUUAAUAACAAUAACCUGACACUUGUACAUUACAAAACUUACAUAGCCUACAUAACUUACAUAAUACAAAACUUACAUAACUUACAUAAUACAAAACUCACAUAACUUAAAUAUCUUACACAACUUACAUAACCUACAUAAUAUAUUUAACUUACAUAACUUACAUAAUACAUAACAUACAUUACUUUGAUAACUUACAUAACUUACAUAAUACACAACUUACAUAGCUUACUUAAUACAUAACUUACAUAACUUAUACACGUACAUAACUUACAUAAUUUACUUAAUACAUAAAUAUAUAUCAUAUGAUAUACUCACAUAACUCAUUUAUACUUACCACUGAACAACUUACCCUUGUAAUUUCUGGUGAAAAUCAAACUUCAAGAAAUAAGAAAUGGACUGGUCUUGGAUGAAUUUGUCAAGGGUAAGCGACGGUUAUCGAAAUGGAGUACAGACUUUCUAAAUUUUGCAUUUCAAUAUGCAAGCCAAGAGAAUAUGAUUCUUUGCCCGUGUAAGAAGUGUGUCAACAUAAACUGGCAUUAUCGUGAAGUUGUAUACGAGUAUCUAAUUGUUGAUGGGUUUGUUCGGGGUUAUAAACAAUGGUUAUUUCAUGGAGAAUGCCCGCCUAGUACUUCCUCUUCAAGGAUGGAUGUAUCUUAUGAUAGUACUGCUUACCAUUAGUCUGUUAGAGGGGAUGACAUGGAAGGGAUGUUGCGGGAAGCAUUUAAUAUUCACAGUCAUGGUUUACAGUCGUUCCCAGCCGACUUUGUGGCAUCUGAUGAUUGUAAUCUCGGUGGAAAUGCUUUUACUGAACCUGGAAGAAGUGUACAUCAUGAAGAGUCGAAUGGAGAAGCGGCAAAGUUCUACGUGCUACUUAAUGACAUGAACGAAGAACUGUAUGAGGGAUCAAAAUUCUCAAAAUUGUCUCUCUGUAUUCAUCUUUUUCAGUUAAAAUGUUUGGGAGGGUGGACCGGGAACUCUUUGACAUUGCUGUUAGAGUUUUUGAGAGAAAUGUUUCUGUUUGCAAAAAUCCCUCAAUCAUGCAAAGAUAUGAAGAAAAUGAUAAAAUCUUUAGGUCUUGGGUACACCAAAAUUCAUAGUUGCCCGAAUAACCGCAUGUUGUAUUGGGGCGAUCGGAGAAACCAACAGUGCUGUCAUAUAUGCGGCCAAUCACGUUGGAUAAAUAGAAACACAGAAGAUGGGAAUGACGAUGAAAAUGUUGCAAAACCAAGACAGAAGCCGAUAAAGAUUUUGCGGUAUUUUUCGCUGAUACCAAGGCUUCAAAGGCUUUUCAUGUCAUCGAAGAUAGCGGAGUCUAUGACGUGGCACCAUGAUGGAUGAACUGAGGAUGGGAAGAUGAAGCAUCCGGCAGAUUCUUUAGCUUGGAAAUCAUUUGACAAUAAAUUUCCAAGAUUUGCAAGCGAUCCUAGGAGUGUGAGGCUUGGGCUAGCAUCUGAUGGAUUUAAUCCUUUCAAGAUUAUGAGCACUGCGUACAGUACUUGGCCAGUAGUGCUUGUUCCUUACAAUCUGCCUCCGUGGAUUUGCAUGAAGCAAUCUUCCCUUAUGUUAUCUAUGAUUAUCUCUGGAGAGAAAAGGCCCGGGAAUGAUAUCGACAUUUAUUUACAGCCACUUAUUGAAGAGUUAAAACAAUUAUGGGCUAGUGUCGAGACAUACGAUGUGCUGAGAAAGAAGAACUUUAAUUUACGUGCAGCUUUGAUGUGGACCAUUAAUGACUUCCCCGCUUAUGCCAAUUUAUCCGGUUGGAGUACCAAGGGUCGUUAUGCGUGUCCUUGUUGUGCUGCACAAACAUGUCCGCAAUGGUUGUACAAUGGGAAGAAGUUCUCUUACAUGAGGCAUCAUCGGUGGUUACCGGAAAAUCAUAGAUUUAGAUUUCAGAGUUCUGUAUUUGACGGUACUGAAGAGUUCAGAGAAGCUCCGUCGCAGACCAGUGGCUCUGAAAUCUUGUUCAUGUUGGAAGAUAUGAAUUUCAUUUAUGGGAAGAUGAACCAACUGCCAAGCACGCAAAGAAAUAGAAGAUCAAAUGAUGAAGCUGAUGAUGACUCUGAUGUAGAGGAUGAUCCUAAUGAGGCGGAGUUGUGGAAAAAAAGAAGUAUUUUUUUGAGUUGCCUUAUUGGGAGCAUCACCUUUUACGACACAAUCUUGAUGUUAUACACAUUGAGAAAAAUGUCUGCUAAAACAUUGUNNNNNNNNNNNNNNNNNNNNNNNNNNNNNNNNNNNNNNNNNNNNNNNNNNNNNNNNNNNNNNNNNNNNNNNNNNNNNNNNNNNNNNNNNNNNNNNNNNNNNNNNNNNNNNNNNNNNNNNNNNNNNNNNNNNNNNNNNNNNNNNNNNNNNNNNNNNNNNNNNNNNNNNNNNNNNNNNNNNNNNNNNNNNNNNNNNNNNNNNNNNNNNNNNNNNNNNNNNNNNNNNNNNNNNNNNNNNNNNNNNNNNNNNNNNNNNNNNNNNNNNNNNNNNNNNNNNNNNNNNNNNNNNNNNNNNNNNNNNNNNNNNNNNNNNNNNNNNNNNNNNNNNNNNNNNNNNNNNNNNNNNNNNNNNNNNNNNNNNNNNNNNNNNNNNNNNNNNNNNNNNNNNNNNNNNNNNNNNNNNNNNNNNNNNNNNNNNNNNNNNNNNNNNNNNNNNNNNNNNNNNNNNNNNNNNNNNNNNNNNNNNNNNNNNNNNNNNNNNNNNNNNNNNNNNNNNNNNNNNNNNNNNNNNNNNNNNNNNNNNNNNNNNNNNNNNNNNNNNNNNNNNNNNNNNNNNNNNNNNNNNNNNNNNNNNNNUAAAAUUUUUAAAAUUUUCCUUCAUUCACCUCUAUGCCUUUAGUUACAACUUUUGAUAAUGUUGUAUAUUGUGUUUAUGUUCAUAUCCAAAUUAAAGUCUUACUGCCGCAACAAGCGAUAUCCAGAAGGAUCGAUUGCUGAAGGCUACUUGGCAGAGGAAUGUAUGACCUUCUGCUCAAGAUAUUUGGAAGAUGUUGAAACAAGGUUGAACAGACCAAAUAGGAAUGCUGGACUCACGGGCCAUAACUUAGCCGAUACUUAUUUGUUCCAAAGGUUUGGAGAACCAAUCGGUAAAGUUGAAAUUGCAGAAUUAGAUCAUUUAUCGUGGGUACAAGCACAUCGAUAUGUUCUGUUUCACCACGAAUCAUUGGAACUUUUAUGAAAGUAAGUUCUACAAAUUUGAUAAAUACUUAUCAAACUAAAAAUUGUUUAUCUUCUAACAAAGUGAACUUUUUUUAACAUAGCGAGUACAAACAAAUAUUGAGAUCUCGUUCGUACUCCCGAAGAACACAACAUCGAGAUAUCAAUAAGUUGUUUACAGAAUCUUUUUAUGAAUGGUUAAGCCAAACGGUAUGCAGUUGGAGCUUCCGCUUACAAAUAAUAAUGUUUUCUCAUAACAUUUUUAAUUACUCAGUUUACUUUCCAUUCAAUAAGUUUGGAGUGGGAAGAACGUAAACGACGAAGUUAAAUGGCUCUCCCAAGGUCCAAAUCGAGUGGUUAAAAGAUAUAGUGUGUUCCUCAUCAACGGAUUCAGAUUUCAUACAAAAUAUCGCGAGAGGUUGAGGAGAACGCAAAAUUGUGGAAUAGUUGUUAAUUCUGCAAUUACAAGUUAUGCUAGUGCUAGGGACAAUAAUCUUGUCGAGGGAAAUGUGGAAUAUUUCAGACAUCUUACUGACAUAAUUGAGUUGGAUUACUAGGGAAAAUGGAAAGUUGUCUUAUUUCGAGGUGAUUGGGCCGAUGUUAAUACAGCUCGUGGAAUUAAGCAAUAUCAAUUUGGUUUUACAAUGGUGAACUUUGACCGAUUGAUUCACACAGGACAACAACUGAUAGAUGAGCCGUAUGUAUUCUCAUCUCAAGUCAAACAAGUUUUUUACUCAAAAGAUCCAACUGAUGAGGGUUGGUACGUUGUACUCCGUAAGAUCCCUAGAGACUUGUUUGACAUGGGCAGUGGAAGUAGAGAUAACAUCGACGANNNNNNNNNNNNNNNNNNNNNNNNNNNNNNNNNNNNNNNNNNNNNNNNNNNNNNNNNNNNNNNNNNNNNNNNNNNNNNNNNNNNNNNNNNNNNNNNNNNNNNNNNNNNNNNNNNNNNNNNNNNNNNNNNNNNNNNNNNNNNNNNNNNNNNNNNNNNNNNNNNNNNNNNNNNNNNNNNNNNNNNNUUCAACUAUUUUAUAUGUGCUGUUAUUGUUGUAAUUAGUUAUUAAGUUUUCAACUAUUUUAUGUGUAUUGCAGAUAAAAUGCCUAGAAGAAAAAUUCUAAGGGGAACCAUUGUUUAAAAUGAUCCAAACUCGAUAGAAACAAAUAGUACUGAACAACAGACAACAAUUGGAUCUUCGAAUGUUCCGAUUACACCUGAGGAUCCUACAGAAGUUCAAAGUAAUUUUACAUUUAAUUUACAUGCGUGUUGACUUAUAAUUGAUUUAUUUUUCAAAUUUUUAUAUUAUAAUAUACCAUUUGUAGCUGAAAAUGGUGGGAUGCGCAGAGGUCGAGGACGUACGCUACUUAGAGAGUUAUACGAGUUAGAUCCAAUCGAGCGUGUCAAAGUUGGACGAAGCAGUUUUGGUCAGCCUGUUGGAUCAGAAGCUCGACUUUUAGCAGGAUACAUGGGCAUUUUAGCACAAAAUGCGAAUAUGUUGCCUAUCAACUACGAGUCAUGGCAUCAAAUGCCCAAUAGCAACAAAAACCAAGCCCUCGAUAAUAUUAAGGUAACAAAAUGUUAACGUCAUCUGUAAUGCUUGGGAAAUAGUUUCAUUUAUAUUUACUUUAUUAACUUGUGUUUUUUGUAGGCGAGGUUUGCUUUAGAGGUCUCGGAUGCUUAUGUAAAGAAGGCAUUGGGAAAAAAGAUGGAGAGACAAUAAAGUACUUUGAAGAAAAAUUAUUAUAAGACAAAAACAACCUCGAUGAGAAAUUGCAAAAUGUCCCGUCAGGAAUGUUGAGGAACCAAUGGGAAGAUGCGGCUAGAUUUUGGCAUUCGAAGAAAGGCGAUGUAUGACGUACUUCCAAACUAUUGUAAUUAUUUUGGUUUAUAGUAUUUACUAUUUACGUACUAAAAAUUUCAUAAUGUAGGAUCGUGAACAAGUUGGAAAAAGCAGCAGGCAGAAACAAAUUCAUUCACACCACGGAGUCGAGAAGUUUUGCAUGUGUAGCUGAGGCGGAGGUAUUUUUAAUUUUUUAAUAUUGUCAAAUAUGUAUAACUUUCCAUUAAAUAAUAUUUUUACUACUAUAUUGUAGGAACUGUCGUCCGGUCAAAAAGUUGGACGCCUUCAACUUUUUGAAAUUACACAUAGGAAGAAAGAUGGAUCUCCCAUGACUCCUGAAGCUGGUGAAAUAAUGGUACGUUUACUUAAUACGAUUUGACUUGUUUUAGUUAUUUAUAGUGUUUAUUUUCUAAUGGUUUAAUUCAUUGCUUGUAAUGCGACUAUUGUUAUGUUGCAUAUGUUUUUUAAUAUAUAUUAUGUUCCUAACUAUGUGAUUUAUUUAUUAGGAAAAACUAAAGGACAAAAAGGCGGAGUACGAAGCGAUUGCUUCUAGUGAUAGUUCUGUUCAUCUUGAAGACAUUGAUAACCGGAUUAUUACUGAAGUUUUGGGUCCUGAAAGGUAUGGUCGGGUUCGAUUUCAAGGAUCUUUUGUUAGCCCAACCCAAUAUUUUGGAUCCAGCUCGCAGCAAUACAUGGCUUCGGGGAGUCAGGCUCUAGCUGAAGUUCAGAGGUUAAAAGACCAGAUGGCUCAGAUGCAAGCGACCACAGUUGAGGUUCAAAGGAAAUAUGAAGAACUCCAGCUACAACUUAAAGCAGAGGCGACAACGACGGAAGCAGCGGCUGCAGCGAGGGAAGCAGAGGCUACAGCGAGAGAAGCAGAGCAGAGCAAAAAGUACGACGAACUCCAGUAGCAGCUUCAAACUAUGAUAAAGAUGUUUCAGUCGCAACUUCCGCCGUCAUAGUGUAUUGCAUAAAUAUUUUUAUCAUUUUAACAUUUAACAUUUUUGCAAUAAUAAUAUGAAUUCACUUUUAUUUAUUGAUAUUAAUAUUAUUUUAUUCGUUUGAUUUGAAAUAUUAUAUAAAUUUAUUGCUUUUGGCUGGUUUAGAUUUGAUUGCUUUUGAUAUGUUGUUACAGGAGGGCUGAAAAAAUAAAAAAUUUAAUAUAAAAAAAUUCCAAAAAUAGUGGCGUUUUUGUAUAAAAGCGCCGCUAAAGAACAUGACGCUUAGAAAAAAACGCCGCUAAAGAUAAUGUUCUUUAGCGGCGCUUAGAAAAAAAACGCAGCUAAAGGCAAUGUUCUUUAGUGGCGCUUAGAAAGAAACGCCACUAAAGACCAUGUUCUUUCACGGCGCUUAGAAAAAAACGCCGCUAAAGACCAUGUUCUUUAGAGGCGCUUAGAAAAAACGCUGCAAAUGUUUGCGACGUUUUCGUUAGCGGCCUUUUUUGCGGCGCUUGUAGAAGUGCCGCAAAUACCUUUAGUGGCGUUAAAAAGCGCCGCUAAAGGCCUAAAAAAACGCCGCUAAAGACCUGUUUUGGUGUAGUGAUUGUCCUUCAUUUUUUUAAAUUAAAUUAUUAUUAUUUUAUUAAUAUAAAUAUAAAAUAAAAAAAUUAAUCAUUACUUAAAAUAAAUAUGAUUCUACUAUAUCUUAUAUUUAUAUAAAUAUAAUUAUAUUAUUUUCACAUAAAUGUGAUUUUCCAUUUUCACAUCUCCACUAUAACUACGUUUAAGUUUUACUAAUAAUUUUAAUUUCAUCACCAUAAUGAUUAACUUGAUUGCCACCGCUAUUUUUAUUCUCAUAUAUCCUUUCUCACAGCUUAUCUAAAUAGACCUUAGUUGAAUUGAAGUAAGAUUAGUCCGGUUGAAAAUUUAGCUAAUCUUUUGGACAAUUCAAAUUUGUUUAACAUGGACAUACUUUUUCUUUAAAAUAUUCAAAAAAUAUAAUUAUAGAGUAUAAAAAAACGUAAGUUUGAAGCAUAUAUAUUUUUUUUAAAAAGCUGCUUCUUUGAAUUAAUACAUAAAUGUAAUUUAUCUUUGGGAUUUUUUUUUAAAUGUACAAUAUAUUUUGAAGAAAUAUAUACACAAUUAUUAUCUAUACUAAAAAAUCUAAGUAGAUUUCACGAGUCAAUUGAGUAUAAACUUAAUUAGAAAAUGAUUAAAAAAGCUAUUCAUUUAAUAACGUAAAUUAUAUUAUUAUAAAAGUAUUUUUAUUUGUUUACAUUUUAUAUAAAAUCAAUUAAAAAAAAACAUAGAUACAACCAACAUUGAAUCUAAACCACUAUGAAUUUUAGAGUUUCAACUUUAUCAUUGAAUCUAAUCUUCAUUUAAUUCCUAUAUAAAUUCCUACAACUUUAUCAUUGAAACUUUGUCAUUUGAAAAAACAUCAUUUAAUUAUUAUAUAAAAUUUUAAAAAUAUUUUUCAUUCACAUCUUUGGUGUGCUGUAAUCUAAUAAUUUCAUGGAUCUUUUGCUACUACAUACAACACGCAAGAUCCAAAUUUUAAUGGCUAAAUAUGAACUCAAUCUCAACAGGAAAAAGGUUAAUUGAUUUAGUGAUGAUUUUGUUUGGUUGAAUUUGAGUGAAGGUCUCAAAAAAUUUAAAAAUUUUAUCUCUUUAGAAAAUUUAAAAAUUUAAUAUCUCUUUUUCAAUAUUAGAUAUAAUGGACGUGCUAUAAUCUAGUAUUGAAAUAUCCAAAUUUUAAUGGUUAAAUAUGAACUCAAUCUCAAUAGAAAAAAAAAAUUAAAUGAUUAGUGUUGUUAGAUAUAGAUGAUUUUGCUUGGUAGGAUUAGAGUGGAGUUCUCAAAUACUUGGGGAUUUCUGUGUCUUCUUUUCGGCAUCGGAUGUAGUGUGUUUUAGAUGUAUUGAUUAGAUGCUUUAAAAGAGUGGCUUUUAGCAAGGAUAAGCCUGAAUGAUACUCUACUUCUCAAAGAAGAGUUGUUGAAAUCAUAUCGAUUUUUUUUGCCUUCCAUUUAUAUAAAAACUAUAUAAAAAUUAGUUAUUUUAGCUUCUUCUUUUUUCGUUUUAUUUAGUCUUAAAUUUUUGAGGUUUUUCAAAAUGUACAAAAUUGAAUCAUUUUCGUUUGUUAACUUUUUUAACAUAGAAUUCACGAUUCUACAUGAUAGUCUAUAUGUAAGUCAUGUUAAUAAUUAAUUAAAUUUUUAAAAAUUAAAAAAUUGUUAACAAUUUAAAAAAUAUAAAUUUUUUUAAUUAUAUAAAAAUAAUAAAAAUUAAAAAUGAUAAAAAUUAAUUAAUUUUUUUCUUCUUCUCCAUUUCCAUUGAUAUACAAAAUAAAUCUAAAAUUUAAAUUAUAAUAUCAAAUUUUCUUCAUUUUACUUUGCAAUUCCUUCUUUAACUGGAGCCUGUUCCUUUUUCUUUAACUCCAACAACCAUCAUGACCACCUUUCGCAUUCACGAUAUCGGCCCAGGGAGAGCUCCAAUCACCUCAUCUUGAAGUCCUACAUAUGCUUAUGGGCUUGGGUUUAUCAAGAGUAACUCAAAUUGCUCGAAUUGGAGGUUAUGGUUUCAAAUUUUUCCUUCUUCGAUCUACGACUUCAACAAUUGGAUUGGCUUGAAACUCAGAUACAAUCUUCUCCGUUGUGAAAACCAAAAUUUGACUAUGUUGGUAAUACAAAGUAUGUAAUUCCAAGUUGGUUGAAAAAAAAGGCUUUUUAAAGAAGUUUAAAUGUAACAUUGCCUCUUAUCUUCAUUGAGUAAUUAAGGUUAAAGGCCAAACACACGUGUCUAUGUCCGUGUUAACACGUGCUUACAAAAUAUACUGUGCAUGUUCUUUUUUUUUAUAAAAUUUUUGUUUUUUCUUUUAAAAUUAUUUUCAGAAUAUUUUCAAUUGCGAAAAAUCUAAUCCAUUGCACUUUUGAGGAAACUGACACUGCGUGUUUUACUUAUUUGCUCCUUCGGAAAACAGUAUAAAUAGCAGGUCAUUUUCCUCAUUUUACACAACAACCAAAUAACAAUCUUUCUCUCAUACUCAUUUUCUCUCGUCUGUUUUCUUUUUAGUGAUUUUUCAGUCAAAUCUCCAACCACAUUUUCUGCUUUGUUUUUCGGUCUUUCGAGAAGAGUAAUACCAAUUGUGUUCUACCUUCUUUAUUUGGAUGUACGAAUACUGAAGUACUGUGUUAACCUUGGGGCGACAUUGAUAACAUGUUUUAACCUCACUCUUAACGUGUUUUUGGGUGAUUAUUUGAUGUUAACUGUGAAUUUUAUGCUCCUAAUCAUUUGAAUCUGUGUUUUAAUACUUCAUAGAGCACUUGGGAGCUAAAGGAGCAAAAAACGAGUGAAAAUCAGAGUGUCGGAGCAAGAUACAGGAGCCAUACAGGCUAAACCAUUUCACAUGGCCGUGUGACCCAUACGGGCGUGUGGUAGGCCAUGUCAAUUUCACAAAAUUGCACACCGAACAACAAAAAAUCAUGAUUUUUAGGUUUUUUGGGCAUUCUAAAACGUAUAUAUGACAAAAAUAAGAAGAUAGGAGAGAGACGUUAGAAAAUAAUCAAGAAAACUCGAAAAACACCAUUGAAGCCGACUUCGAAACAAAUUUCUGUCAAAAUUAAAGAUUCGCAAUUAUUUUUUAGGAAGUUAUCAUGAGUUUCUUUAUUUCUUUCGGUUAUAUUAUACCUUGGAUUUUUUCUUUUCAAGUAUGAACUAAUUUUAUAAAUACCUAGGGAGAUGGACCCUAUGAUGGAUUCUGUCAUUUGAUUUUUAUUUUACGCAAUAAAUAUUCAGUUUCUUAUUCUUAAUUAUGUGUGCUUCAUUCUUGAUUGAAUAUUUCUAUAUUAUUGAUCCAUGUUCGAUGUGCUUAAAUCGAUGGUUGAAUAGACCCUGUUUAAGAUAAGAUCUUGCUUAAUUGAGUGAAGUUGCAUGCAAUCCUAAAUAUAGGACGACAUAAAUCUACCGGAUUAGAGUCAAAUCUAAUAAGGGAAUCUAUAGCACGAAUUAAUGCGAUAAUAGGGAUUUUAAUUAGAAAGAAAUUUCAAUUAAUCAACCUAGAGUCAGUUGCUUUUAUGCUCGAAAGAUAUAUUAGCAUAAUUUAGGGAAUUCUACAGAUCAAGGUGCUAAGAAAUUGCGUAAUCUAGAUUGGUAGUGACAAAGAAAAUCUAGGCAGAUUCUUUCCUAGGUAUUCUUUCGCUUCUUGGUUGUUACUCAAUUAUUUUUGUGUUUUGUUCUUUAUUGUGUUCGUUAGUUAAUUAAUUUAGUAAAAUUUAGUUUUUAAUCAAUCACUCGAAUUAUUCAGUUAAAUAAUAGAAAGACGAUAAUUACUAGUACUUUUAGUCUUCGUGGGAACGAUAUCUUUGCUCACUGUAGUUAUACUAUUAAUUGAUAGGUGCACUUGCCUUAGUUAAAUUUUCAGUUAGUUUCGUGAUACAUCAAGUUUUUGGCGCCGUUGUCAGGGACUAGAAUAUUAGGAAAACUUUAUUUCUAUUAAUUUAGCCAUUGUUUAUUUUAAUUCUAAUACUUUUUUUUUCAUUUAAUUUUUAAAUUCUAAUUUUUCUUUUGUUUGAUUCUUAUAGGUUCUUUUAGUUUAUGACUAGAGGCAACUUGGUGGAAGCAUUAGUUUUUUAUAAUGAGAUCGAAAAAACUGCUCGCAAAAAUCGUAAAGAGGUUAGAGAAGUAAGGCAAGGUCAACAGAUUUUUAUAGAUAAUCAAGACGAAAAGGACAUUAUUGUGGAGAUGGAUAAUAAUCCUCGUAAUCAGCAACUUCCUGUACGUCUUGCUCCUUGGACUAUGUAUGACUAUGCUAAGCCCACUCUGAUUGGGGUUGAAUCGAGUAUUGUAAAACAGAUUAUUGAUAUGUGGCAUGCUAGAUUAGGUUAUGUGAAUAUUCAUUCACUAAAAAAGUUCAUAAAAAUGAAUAUACUCCCUAGUUUAGAUUAUAGUAGCUUUAAUAAAUGCGAAAUUUGUGUUGAAGCUAAGCAUGUUAGUCCUUCCUUAAAAACUCUUCCUGAUAGGAAGACUAGACUUUUAAAAUUAGUUCAUAUUGAUCUAGCAGACUUUAGAAACACAGAGAGUAAGAGUGGAAAACACUACUACAUCACCUUUGCAGAUGAUUACUCUAGAUACACAGGUUUAUCUUCUAAGAUUAAAAGAUGAAGUUGAUAAAAAUUUUCUUCUUUAUAAUGCAGAAGAAGAAAACCAGCUUGAUAGGAGAAUAAAACGUCUUAGAUCCGAUAGAGGUGGUGAAUAUGACACAAUUUCCUUAAAGAGGUCUAUGAGAAAUACAAAAUUAUACAUGAGUUUUUUGCUCAUUAUUUCCCACAACAAAAUGACAUAGCUAAAAGACAAAGCAUAACUCUAAAAGAAAUGAUGGAUGUUUUACUACUAAGUUCUAGUUUACCUGAUAGUAUGUGGGGGGGAGGUCGUACUUUCUACAAACUAUAUUCUUAAUAAAAUGCCUCAUAAAAAAUUAGACUAUACCUCAUAUGAAUUGUGGAAAAGUUAUGCCCCUAAUCUGUAAUACUUGAAAGUGUGGGGGUGCUUAGAAAAAGCAGGCUUGCCUUCUUUUAAAAAGGGCACUAUCAGAUCUAAAAUUGUUGAUGCUCUUAAUAAUGAUGUUGAACCUAGGAGGAGUAAAAGACAAAGGAUUGUCACUAGUUUUGGACCUAAUUUCCUUAUUGUCACUAGUUUCGGACCUAAUUUCCUUACUUCUUUUGUAAAUGAGAUUAGUGAUUUAGACUUGAUAAGUGAUUCUAUUGCUCAUGCAUUUUUGAUAAAUAAAUAUCUAAAAACUUAUGAUGAAGCCAUAAAAUCAAUAGAUGCUAGUUUUUGGAGAGAUACCAUUUAUAAUGAGCUAGAGUCUAUUAUGUCUAAUUACACUUGGGAACUAGUAGACUUGCCUAAAGGUUUUAGAACUAUUAGAAAUAAAUAAGUCUCUAGAAAGAAACUUAGAUUAGAUGGGUCAAUACAGAGGUAUAAGGUAAGACUAGUUGUAAAAUGAUUCACUUAGAAAUUUGGAGUAGAUUAUUUUGAUACAUACUCUCAUAUGACUAAGAUCUCAACCAUUCGUGAUUUGUUUGCUUUAGCUUCUAUUCAUAAUUUGUUGGUACAUCAGGUGGAUGUGUGAAGACAGCUUUCUUGAAUGGUGAUUUGGAUGAAGAGUUCUACAUAGAACAACCUUUAGGAUUUGCAGCACCUGAUAUGGAAAAUAGAGUUUGCAGACUCAAAAUUCUUUGUAUGUUUUCAAACAAGCUCCAAAACAAUGGUAUGAGAAAUUUCAUAAGACUAUUCUUAAUUUUGAUUUUAUUUUUAAUGAUGCAUAUGCAUGUGUGUAUUCUAAUAUGUUUGGUUCUAAUUGUGUCAUCAUAUGUCUAUAUGUGAAUAACAUGUUAAUUUUCAGCACUAAUAUAAAAGUCAUUAACAAAACCAAAAAUUUUUAUCUACCAAGUUUGAUAUGACUGAUUUGGGAGAGGUAAAUGUAAUCUUAGGGUUAAGGUUACUAAAUCAGAAAAACAAUUUUCUUUAAACCAAUCUCACUCUAUAAAAAAAGUGUUAAAUAAGUUUAAUAGCUUUGAUAUAAUCCCUGUGAAGACUCCUUUUGAUUCUAGCAUCCAACUGAUAAAGAAUAAAGUAAAUAACGUUUCUCAAUCAGAGUAUGCUAAAAUUAUUAGAAGCCUUAUGUUCUUGAUGAACUACACUCGGCCUAAUAUUACUUAUGCAGUCAAUAUACUAAGUAGAUAUACUUAUAAUCUUAGCAAAGAGCAUUGGAAUGCUUUAAAACAAUUGUUGAAAUACCUUAAAGGUACAUUAACUUGGGAAUUGGAAUUUGUCGGAAACCCUACAGUCCUAAAGGGAUAUUGUGAUGCAAAUUGGGUAACUAAUAAUGAUGAAGUUAGCUCUACAAAUGGGCAUGACUUUACUUUAGGUGUAGUAGCUAUUUCUUAGAAGUCUACUAAAAAGACUUGUAUUGCUCGCUCCAUGAUGGAAUCAAAGUUUAUAGCUUUGAACUUAAUCGGGAAAGAGGCCGAGUGACUUAGGAAUCUACUUGCAGAUAUUCUUUUAUGAGAAAAUUUGACACCUCUCAUAUCUCUAUUAUGUGACUCACAAACUGCUAUUUGCGUUGCUAAGAGUUAAGCUUAUAAUGGUAAGAAGAGGCAUAUUCGAAUAAGACAUGAAGUUAUGAGACAUUAAAUAAAGAAUGGAGAACCUAGUUGAUCCACUAACCAAAAGGUUAAGUAGGAAAAUGGUUAUUGAUUCGUCAAGGGGGAUGGGUCUUAAGCCUAAUGGUUGAGGAAUUCAUGGUGGAUACCAAUUUAGUUUUGUAAGUUCAAUAUGGUCAAACGAAACCAUGGAAAGACUCAUAGUGUACAUUUUACCUAUCCCUAUGGAAAACGAUGUACAUGCAUAAGGUUGAGUUCUUACUCUUAAUGAAUUCAUAUCCUAAGGUUUAAGUGGUCCUAUUGAGACGGACUAGAUGAAUUCAUUAACAAGUGAGGUUAAGUUUUUUUACUCUUAAUGAUUUCAUAUUCAAGAUUUUGGGUGGUCCUAUUGAGACAUACUUGAUGAAUUCACUGAAUUUAAAUUUUAGAGGAUGAGCUUAAUAAAUAUUAUUAAUGGUUUCAUAAUCCUAGUUCAGGUAGUCUAUAUUGAGAUAGACUUGAUGAAAUCACCUACAUAAGUGUGAAGAAUUAACCAUCUUUUAUGAAAGACAUUGGACAGCCUUUCUAGAGCACUUACCAACAUCUCGAAGUGUAUUGGCUAAAACCUAUUGAUCUAUUAUGGAACAUCAAUUGGAUCUGAGACUAGUCAUGUGUCAUGAGUUAACCCCAAUCUUAACAAGUUCAAGAUUCAUUCACUUGUUAAAAAGAGGAUUCACUCAGUUCAUUAUGUACUAGUUCAUUAUGUACUAGUUCAAAUCCACAAGAUACUAGUACUUAAGUGACUAAUUUUGUUGUUGCUCCUCUCACGUUUUACCUUUUCUCAUGUUUACAAAGUCUCUAAUUCUUUUGCAUUAGUGGGGGAAUGUUGGUAAUGCAAAGUAGGUAAUCCCACAUUGGUUGAGAAAAUGUUUCUAAGGAGGUUUAAAUAUAGUCUUGCCUCUUACCCUCAUUAAGUUAUUGGGGCUAAAGGCCCAACACACGUGUGCAACCGCCAACCGGCUCAAUCCGUGUUAACGACAUGUACUGCACGUGUUUCUUUUUGGAUAAAAUUUCUAUUUUUUAUUUUUUUUAAACAGUUUUCAAAAUAUUUUUAGUUGCGGAAAAUCCUCUGACUAUUGCGGAAAAUCUGGUCAGUUGCACUUUUUGAGGAAACUGACACUACAUGUUUUACCAUUUUCCCCUUCAAAAAACAGUAUAAAUAGCAUGUCAUUUUCCUCAUUUUACACAACAAGAAAACGAAAAUCUUUCUCUAAUUCUCCUUUUCCCUCGUCUGUUUUCUUUUUAGUAGUUUUUCAGUCAAAUUUCCAACUACAUUUUUUGCUUUGUUUUCUAAUUCCUUUCGGGAAGAGCAAUACCAAUUGUGUUCCACCUUCUUUAUUAAGGUGUAUGAAUACUUAAGCACUAUGUUAACCUUCGAGGGCACGUCCUCUACACGAUUACUCCGAUCAGGGUGGAUUUGCUUCUAAGGUAAUAGUUCUUCCACGACACAGUGAUUAUUUUUAUUUGUUUACACUUAGUUUAUUUUCCUGUAGUACUAAUGAUUUCGUUUUGCAAUAGUAUAUUUCCAACAGGCUAUUAGGAUUGUUGAAAAGAGAACCUGAAACUACAGGUUGAGCCUUCACAACAUUGGCAAAGUCAUUAGGGUUGUUAUAAUUGACAAAAGAUGAAAUAGGUUUUGUUGGAAUGAUUGAUUAUGAGUUUUUAUGUCUUUUGGUUGAAUCUAAGUGGUUUGAAAUUUUUGAAUAGUUUUGUUUCUAUUUUCAAUUUUUUUUUAUUUUGGAUUGUGAGUUUUUGAAAUUGAUAAGUAAAAACUAGAAUUGAAGUUUGAUUUUGUUGAUCGGUUAGGAUUUUUUUUGUUAUUUUUAUUGCUUUUAACUAAAAUUCAAACUGAAACAAAUUUUCUGUUUUCAUUUUCAAUUUUGAUUUUUAAUGUGUUUUCCUCCCUAAAUUCUACAAGAAAUUAACAACUUUGGAUUUAGAAGGUGCAAUUUGGUGGAUAGUCAAGUUGUUGAAGCACUUGGGUGCUUAAAUUUGAUGUAGGUUUUGGAUUUGAAAGCUUGUUCUCAAGAUUAGGGGUGAGUAUUCGAUUGAGUCGAGUCGAAUCGAGUCAAAAAAUUUUGAGUUAGUCGAGUUGACGAAUCCUAUUUUAGCAACCGAACUCAAUUUGAAUUUUUUUGAAUCGGAUCGAAUCGUGUCAAAAAAUUUUGAGUCAAGUCGAGUCGAGUUAACGAAUCCUAUUAUUUAUACUCAAUGUUGCUUUUACAUGAACCGAUUAUUUAACUAGUAAACAAAGUAUAAAAUUAUUUAACUACAUAAACAAUAUAAUGGUUUUGCCUUUUAACUUAAUGAGUAAACAUUUAUCAAAACAACGUAAUUUUGCCUUUUAACUUAAUGGUUUUGACUUUUGAACUUUACAAAAGGUAAACAUUUAUCAAAAUGGCGUAACUUUGCCUUUUCUUAUUUAGAUUUUCGGAUAACUCGAAUUGUGUAAUUCAUAGUCGAGUUAAACUGAAUAACUUAAUUUUUUAUUCGAGUUGAUCCAAAUAACUUGAGUAACUCAAAUAACUCGAACUAUUUAAUUCAAAAUUUAAAAAUUUUAUCGAGUUUUUCAAAUCAAAUCGGGUUUUGCUCACCCCUACUGAAGACCAACAAGGAGAGUGGAGAAAUUAAUUCGAUAGAAAAGAUUUUGAAGAGUUUGAAAAUAAAGAAAUUAAUUUGAGCAUUGAAAAGGAAAAAAAAGACGAGCAUUACUGAAUUGGUAAUAUAUUUUUUACUUUUAAAUCUUUAUAUUUUAUAAUUCAUAAUUUUUUAUAUUAUUAAAAUUUUUUUAUAAAAUUUUAUAAUUUUUUAAAUUUUAAUUUUUUUAAAUAAUUAUUGAUGAACUAUUACAUAAAUGUCACGUCAGUAAAAAUAUCCAACAUUAAUUUAUUUAUCUAUUAUUUAAUAAUUUGUAAAAAUCCAAAAGUUUGUAAACAAAAUAAAACUGGUUUUUUUAUGUAGUUCAAAGUUGAUUAUGCUUAUAAAGAGCAGUGAGAGUGAUGGAGGAAAAAUGGACUUUUUUUAUUAUUUUAAUUCGCCGUCCAAAACCAAAUAGUCAGAUCUUGGAAAAUGAAUCAUUUUUAUAUUCUGUAUAGAAUAUUGAAGAAUAGAUGAACAUUUUCACGUAACUAUUGUAAAGCCAACAUAGAAAUUUCUCUUAUUUAUUUUAAACGUCACAUUCUUAUCCUAUUUCUCCUUUUCUUUUUUUAAGUAAAUUUGUUAAAUACAAUCAUUCUCACACUUGUUAAGUCCCUAUCUUAUUGAAUCAGUUCAUUUAUAGUCUUUUAUUUUAUUAUAAAUAUUGAAUCUCGGGUGUUACAACACAAAAUAAUUUACAAUUUCUCAUUUCUUUAAACAUGUUAAUUGACAUUUUAAUUAGAAACUUAUUGUAAGAAAACAAGAUAAAUAACUUAAAAUAAUCUUAUUACAGCAAACUCGAUUCAUAUCCUUACAAAAUGAAAGUUUAUUUAUAACAAACUCACAAGGUGUAUUCCUAGACUACAUCGCAUAUCCAUUGUAUGCAUAAUAGCCCACUCUGCCACCACCUUGUGUACUCCCGGGGUCGUCCCUCCAGGCAAAUUCUCCUUUUAGAUACCUGAAAAGCAAUAACAAUUCCUGUGAGUACAGGAGUACUUAGUGAACUCAUAAAAACAAUACCUUGAUAAAUUCUUUGCAAUCUUGUAUGAACCACUAGGUGACAAUUAUUUUGCAUCAUUUAUUUCGGCCGAUACCACCACAAAAUAUCAUACUCUUAAACUCCAGCUAUCCUACUCUUAUCAUACUCCAUCUUCCUUAACUAUCUAACUGAAUAAUCAUUCCAAAUGUAUCAUAAAUCUCUUACCCCAUAAUAAUUUCUUAACAGUACAUACACUCAAAAAACCACUUCCAAGAAUCCUUGUAUUAACUCAUACUCUUAACUUGAACAGUUGUUCACUAACAUUUAUCACGGCAGAUACAUAUAUGUUUUGCGAACACUUACGCAGAAUAUAAUACCAUCAAUCCAUACUUGGACAUACCCUGAUUCAGUACCACACAUAUCCAUACUGAUAAAUCACUGCAUGGUCCACUCUGAUGAAUUUCAUAUCGUGAUAUAUCAUAAUCACAUAAUUCAAGAUAACAUUAACUCUUAUUUUUUGGAAGAUUUAUAUCGUGCCUAGUACUGCAUGGUUCCAUUCUGGAAGAACGUCGAAUCAUUCUCUUGAAGCUCAUCUUUUUCAUUAUAAAUGAUCUGCUUGCCCUGAAAUGACACGGCCCAGUAGGGAAAUACCAGUUCAUUUGGCCUUUCGAUACAAUCAAAUAGAAAUCCCCAAGGGCACCAUAUCUUAGGAGCCCAAACUAUGUGAUUGAAUAAAUCCUCUUCUAUCUGUUGCGGGUCGAGUACUCAUUCUCCUUCCCAUUCUUCAAACUUCGAUUCGUAUUUUUCAUAGAGAUUUCUCUAAUCAACAAUAGAACAAGAUCCAUUUUACAUUACAUAUAAGGGAUUACUCGGCUCGGACCAAAGAAGCAAUGUCACUCAAUCAUUAUCAAACUGACCGCAAUAUUUUUCUGUCCAUGAUGAUCCCACCAAAGCGCCUUCUACUUCUAAUAGGCCAAGAACUUUCCAUAUAUACAAAUCAUCAUAAUGGAUACCCUUCUUAACAUACAGAUUCACAUCUCUUUUUCAUGGAAACCCUUAAGACUUAGUCAUUCAAAACCCAGAACAUAUCAAUACCUCAUCUUAACUUUGCUUAUUAUAGAACUAAAAGAAUUUACUCAUAUCGUACAAUAAUGACAGUCAUUCAGAUUCAAAUCUUACCAAACAUUCUUGACAAUAAAUGCCACGAAAGCCUAACAAAACACGUCAUACAAGCAAUCAUAUAGAGUCUCAUGUUUAUUGUCCCGACGGACUCCACAGAACACAUCGUAGGCAAACCAACGAUAUACUGUAAAUGUCAAAAGUCCUUAUUACAGAAUACGCCACAAAGGUGAUCCAUACAGAGUACAUCACAAAGGUUAUAUAUAGAGAGUAUACCACAAAGGCGACAUAUACAGAGUAUGCCACAAAGGUGAUAUAUACAGAGUAUGCCACAAAGACAAUUCAUUCAGAGUACGCCAUAAAGGCUGACAGGAUGCCACAUAGGCAACCCAUAACUUUCGUGUUUGCGAUAUGGAUUUACCCAAACUCACAUUAAGUGAGGUUUGCCCAUCAUUGCCUUGGGACACACAGAAAACCCUGUAGCGACCUAAAAAUUUCGGCGAUGGGCGCUAAUCGAAGCGAUUAUUGAAAAUUUGAAAAUGGAGUUUUGAUUUUAUUUAAGAAAAGGAGUCGCCAUCGAUCUUUUUUCUAGGUGUGAUCGGACACCUUCAAAAAUCUCUUUUUAGAAGAAUUUUUUUUUAGAAAAAAAAACUUUUCCAAAAAAAAUAAUUUUAGGUCCACGUCAAAAUCCAGAGAAAAUUAGGGUUCGGGAGUCGGUUACGCACGAGGAAGGUAUUAGCACCCUCGCGACGCCCAAAAUUGGUAUCUCGUUAAACACGCGUUGUCCUAAUUUUCAAAAAUACAAAUUCAAUUUAAUAGUUAAUCGCGAUCAGAUCAAAAUACGAGAAUUUUUAAAAACACGAAGAUUUUUGAAACAUUUAUUUUUUUGAAAACACGAAAAAUUUUUAAAACACGAGAAUUUUAGAGACACGAAAAUUCUUAAAAAUACGAAAAUUUUUGAAAACACGGAAAUUUUUAAAACACAGGAAUUUUUGAAAACAUGAAAAUUUUUGAAACACCGGAAUUUUGAAAACACGAGGAUUCUUGAAAACACGAAGAUUUUUUAAAACACGGAAGAAAAUACAGAAAUUUGAAAUACAGAAAUUAUUUUAAAAAAACACGAAUAUAUUUUUUGAAAAACGGUAAAUUUCAUUAUUAUUUUUUGAGACACGAGAAAUUUUGGAAACAUGAAAACUUUUGAAAACACGAUUUUUUUUAAAACGUACCGUAUUUAACACGAAUCGAUGAUAUUCACCCCGACAUGGCGAUGAAAUCGUCGAUUUAGUGUCAAAUCGAUUCGACUUAAUAUUUAAUUGUGAUUCUAUGAAAACACGAGAAAUCUUUUCUAUUUUUAAUAACACGAGAAUUUUUGAAUAUCUUCAUUUUUUUUUAAAAAAGGNNNNNNNNNNNNNNNNNNNNNNNNNNNNNNNNNNNNNNNNNNNNNNNNNNNNNNNNNNNNNNNNNNNNNNNNNNNNNNNNNNNNNNNNNNNNNNNNNNNNNNNNNNNNNNNNNNNNNNNNNNNNNNNNNNNNNNNNNNNNNNNNNNNNNNNNNNNNNNNNNNNNNNNNNNNNNNNNNNNNNNNNNNNNNNNNNNNNNNNNNNNNNNNNNNNNNNNNNNNNNNNNNNNNNNNNNNNNNNNNNNNNNNNNNNNNNNNNNNNNNNNNNNNNNNNNNNNNNNNNNNNNNNNNNNNNNNNNNNNNNNNNNNNNNNNNNNNNNNNNNNNNNNNNNNNNNNNNNNNNNNNNNNNNNNNNNNNNNNNNNNNNAUUUCUAAAUAUGCUAUUUAAAAAUACUAAUUAAAUUGAAAUGAAACAAUAAUUAAAUAUACAGAUUAAUUUAAAACGAGGGUAAAAGGAUUACCAAAAGCCAAAAGUUAUGGGCUUGAUCCAACGGGCUACGCAAUUCGGGCCUUUUUGUUUUUUGUUUUUACUUCUUUUUUUUCUUUUUCUUUUUCUUCCCCUUUUUUCUGGACUGGGCUGGGCUGUUUGUACUGGGCCUGGGGGCUGCACUGCUGGACUGGGUUGGCCUGCUAGGCGCUGUUGGGCCUGGCUCCUGGGUUGGCCUGCUUGAUCUGCUGCUGGGCUGCACUUGGGCUGGGCAGUUGGCCUGCUUGUUUUUUCUGCUUUUUUCUUCUUUUUUUUUGGGGGUUUGAGGCUACUGGUGGGCUACUACUGCUGCUGCUGGGUGCUGUUGUUUGGGUCGGAUCCGGGUCGGGUCGGGUCGACCCAAUUACUCCUUUUAUUUUAUUAUUUUAUUUCUUUUUUCUUUCACUUUUUCCUUUUCUUCUCUUUUUUCUUCUUUUUCUUCUCCAAGCCGAACCCCAGCCUCCUUGCUCUUCCUCACCGUCGCCACUUCCUCCACACGGUGCGAUGGUCGCCGGCGUCUCCUCUUCUCUCCUUCUUUCUUCUUCUCUUCUUUUCUCUUUUCCUUUUCUUUUUGGUUGCUAUUUUUCUGUGCUUGCUGUUUUUAUAUUUUGCUUGUUGCUUUCCUUAUUUGUGUAGAUGCGACGGUGGUGGAGGUGUCACGGUGAAGGUGCGACGACGGUGGUUGCGAGAGGAGGCUUUUGGCUGCUGUUUCUUGACUGUUUUUGCUGCUAUUUUUUUAAUUUUUUUCUUUUCUUUGCUGCCAAAACUGAACCCCCCUCUCUUCCUCUCAUCUUCUUCUUUUAAAUCCUUCAAUUUUGUCUUCUUUCCUUUGUUUUCAGGCGGUAGGAGAGCAUCNNNNN